rnacentral:rRNA from 4 species
ACGGGUGAGUAACACGUGGGCAAUCUGCCCUUCACUCUGGGACAAGCCCUGGAAACGGGGUCUAAUACCGGAUAUCACUUCCACUCGCAUGGGUGGGGGUUGAAAGCUCCGGCGGUGAAGGAUGAGCCCGCGGCCUAUCAGCUUGUUGGUGAGGUAAUGGCUCACCAAGGCGACGACGGGUAGCCGGCCUGAGAGGGCGACCGGCCACACUGGGACUGAGACACGGCCCAGACUCCUACGGGAGGCAGCAGUGGGGAAUAUUGCACAAUGGGCGAAAGCCUGAUGCAGCGACGCCGCGUGAGGGAUGACGGCCUUCGGGUUGUAAACCUCUUUCAGCAGGGAAGAAGCGAAAGUGACGGUACCUGCAGAAGAAGCGCCGGCUAACUACGUGCCAGCAGCCGCGGUAAUACGUAGGGCGCAAGCGUUGUCCGGAAUUAUUGGGCGUAAAGAGCUCGUAGGCGGUCUGUCGCGUCGGAUGUGAAAGCCCGGGGCUUAACCCCGGGUCUGCAUUCGAUACGGGCAGACUAGAGUGUGGUAGGGGAGAUCGGAAUUCCUGGUGUAGCGGUGAAAUGCGCAGA